rnacentral:lncRNA from 12 species
GGAACUCUCUUCCAUGGCGACUCUAUCUUAUCCUUCAUUUCUCAACUCUAAUGUCACCUUCUUCGAGAAGCCUUUCUUGAUCAUUUGAGCUCAAGUCCCUUCCCCACCUCCUCCCCACCCCCAGGGCUACCCACCACAUCACGUUUUCUUUUCUUUUUCUUUUUGCUUCUUGCUCCCUCGCUGGAAUUUUAUUUGUCAUCUACCUCCUCUAGUGGGGUGAGCUCUUGUGGGCAGGGACCGUGCUUGUUUAGUUCACUGCUCUACUGCCUGGCAUAUAGUAGGUGCUCCAUAAACAUGUGUGGAAUGAAUGAAUGAGUGCAGGACGGAUGGAAAUAGUUGAAGAAUCCAGGUGCUAAGAGGAGGAGAAGAAGGCCCAGGGCCCAGGCUGGGGUCUGAGACCUCCUUUCCCUGGGUCUCCCUGGCCUGGAGAGGGGCCUCUGCCAGGGUGGGAGGGUGGAGGGGUGGGUGUGGGGGCAGCGGGCAGGGCUGGGCGAGGCCUCCUCACUCCUUACUGUUUUCAUCCUCUCGGUAAUUAUGGGCUCAGACACUCCUCGAUGCCUUCUCAGAAUAAUAGCCGGGCCUGUUAUCAGCAGCAUCUCCCGGACCUUUUCACAAACAGUCAUUAAUCAAGUCUCGCUGCCACCCUGCCCUCCCUCCUGGUGGAAACCGAGGCACAGAGAGACUUUUCAGCAGAAGGAAGCAUCCAAACUUGGGAAGUCUCGUCUCAGGGCCAUGGAGAACCUGUGAGGUCUCUGGAGUCCGUGCCAUAGGGGGGCCCGGGGCACAGCUCAUUGGGUCAGGAAGAAGGGGCUUGGCUCACAGAGUGCUUGAGAAUGAAGGUCUUAAAAGUGGGCGCUGGUCCCACCUGAAGGCCCCUCACUGUCUCCAGGACAGAGCUUCCAGCCUGUCUCCCACUUCCCCUGGCCCAGCCCCAUUGUUUCCCGCCCUGACCACUGGGGCGCCUCCUCCCCAGGCUCCCUGCUUCUGCCUAGGGCCCUACAGGCCUGGCAUGACACACCCCAUUGCCUCUUGGAGCUCACCUGCCCCUAGCCUCGUCCCUUCCUCGGCUCCAGGGCUCUGGCCUCCUUGCUGCCCCAUGACGGGCUCCUCGACUGCUGUACCACCCCCCAUGCAGGCAGAUUCUCUCCUCCUUUGGGGGGAGGGCAGCCUGGCCCCCAGCAUCCUGCCUGCCCACCCUGCAGGAGUAGGCCCUCCUGCCACACCUGCUUGCAGCUCCCUGUCUCCCCACCACCAAGCUCUUUACUACUGUUUGAAGAAACACAUUCAUGGGUCUGCUCACUGGGCAACCGCCCCUGUCUGCUUAGGGUGUCAGUCCCAGGGGGGCCAGCUGGGGUCUGGGGGCUGUGCCCCAGGGCCUGGAACAGUGUUGGUGUGUGGUAUGCAGUAGAUGCUCGAUGCAUGCUUGGUGAAUGAAUGAGCACUAGCGCUUUAAUGUCAGGCAUUGGAGUCUCUGCAUGGUUCUGAAAAUUCCAGCAAUGGAAUCCCUCAAGGCUCACGGGCCCCAGGCCAGCUCCUGCUGCGGGACACCUUCUGCCUCCGUAGCUGCCAUCUGCCCCAGGAGAGCCCUUCCACGUGUGACAGAGCUGGUCCCGUGAGGCGCAGGAAACAGGCCGGGGAGGCUGGAAGCCCUCAGCAACCUUCUCACGGCGUGACACCUCAAAGUUGAUAACCUCUCUGCUCUCUGUGCCCCGAUUUCCUUGUCUCUGCAAAAGAGAGUGAAUAAUUUCUGGGACUUCCUUUAUUUCUCUUCCAAAUAUGCUUAUUAUUUUAUUGGCUUGUGGUGAAGCUCAGAGAAGUUUAUGGGUGGGGGAACUUCACCACUGCAACCUCCCUGGCAGCAGAAACAAUUCUUGCCAGGAGCUGACCAUGUGUGGGCCUGGAAUGGGCGUGUUCCUGGCUGAGGCCACUGUCUGCCCUGGGCUUGGCACACAGGGCUCUUUCUGCCUGGCCGGGCCUCCUUUCAGAGACUCGAACUCACUAGGCUGCCUCUAGUCUCAGGGCUUUGGCAGGUGCUGUUCCCUCUGCUUGAGAUGUUCUUCCUUCUAUCCUCAGCCUGGUUAAAUUCCUACCUCUGAUUCUGAUUUUGGCUCAAACACCACCUCUUUCAGGAAGCCUUCCCUGAUGACACCCCAUGAUUCAGGUCACUCGGUUAAACUUUUUUAAACAACUUUUUUUUUUUAAUCGCCAUUGCAUUACUUUAUUUAUUUGUUCUCAGCUCCCAGAAGGCUCCCUACCCCAUCAUCUGAGGUUAGAUUUCCCCUGGAGGGAAGUUGGGAGGCCCAGGCCCGUGAAUCAGCAAAGUUCUCCUUCCCCUCUUGGCACUUUGUCUGCAGAGGGUGAGAGAUGGUUUCCUCCAAGGGGACUAAGUCCAGGGGUGCAUAGAUGCCGGGGAGGUGGUGGGCAGGGUCUCUCCCCAUCCCCCAGACAGCCUUGGCCCAUCAUCGGCUCUCUACCUCCAUGACAACAGCUCCCUGCCUGAACCCCACCCCCCUUGACUGCUCUCCCUUCCCCCAUCCUUCCUGGAGAGCCAGAGGGAGCUUUCCAAAAUCCAAAUCUAGGGGCACCUGGGUGGCCCAGUGGCUCAGUGGUUGAGCGUCUGCCUUUGGCUUCAGGUUGUGAUCCUGGGGUCCUGAGAUCGAGUCCCGCAUCGGGCUUCCUGCAGGGAACCUGCUUCUCCCUCCUCCUGUGUCUCUGCCUCUCUCUCUCUGUGUCUCUCAUGAAUAAAUAAAUAAAUAAAAUCUUAAAAAAACCCA